UAAAGGCUGUGGCUCAACCAUAGUUCGCUUUGGAAACUGUCAAACUUGAGUGCAGAAGGGAGAGUGGAAUUCCAUGUGUAGCGGUGAAAUGCGUAGAUAUAUGGAGGAACACCGGUGGCGAAAGCGGCUCUCUGGUCUGUAACUGACGCUGAGGCUCGAAAGCGUGGGGAGCGAACAGGAUUAGAUACCCCAGUAGUCCUAGCCGUAAACGAUGGAUACUAGGUGUUGUCUGUAUCGACCCGGACAGUGCCGUAGCUAACGCGUUAAGUAUCCCGCCUGGGGAGUACGCACGCAAGUGUGAAACUCAAAGGAAUUGACGGGGGCCCGCACAAGCGGUGGAGUAUGUGGUUUAAUUCGAUG
rnacentral:rRNA from 1 species